CCCCCCCCACACACACACACACCCAGCAGGCUAGGCUACUGGGCUCUUUUCUGUACUACAAUAGGUGGCAGAUGGCGAAGAGGGACCAAAAGAAAAAAAUACAAAGGGGGCCCAGAUUACAACUUCCAACGGGUAAACAAGCGGCAGAACGGUCCCGCACAAUAGUAGGCACAGGGCUACAACAACAGUGACUCGGAAUCGAGUUGUUGAAAGUUCAGUUGCGCAUAAAGUCGUACAGCUUGGCCGGAUUCGUGACCCUCGAGGGUCUGGGGGUCUCCAAGAUCCAGAGAAAGAGACAGGCCGAGAAGGACCCGCCUAUACAAGAAUGCUUAAGCCUGGCAUCUUCAAAAAAGGAAAGCCAGUGUCCGGGGUGUGUGGAAGAAGAUGCCUGCUCCUGCCAGGACUCAGACUUUCCCAGAACAGGGCACCUGUACAAAAGGGAUGAAACUCAGCCACAGGAAACGGCCAGGUGAAGGUUACAGACAAGGCUCAUGUCGUCUAAGCUGGCUUCAAACUUUCCACGCGACUGAGGAUGAGCUCCUCCCACCUUGCCUCUUAAGUGCUGCAAUUACGGGCAUUCAUCACCAUGACCAGCUUGUGCAGUACUGGGGAUCAAACCCACGGCUCCUGAAGACGAGGCAAGCGCUCUUCCACAUGCUGACCUUCAGCCCUUUGCUUAUGGAGAAAGGGUCCCACCUUGUGUCCUAGUCUGAUUUUGAACUCCAAACGAAGAAACUCUCCUCCUAAACCUGGCUGCCAGGCUAGGGGAUGGCGAGGGAUGGGAUGUUGAUCUUCCUGCAUAGUGCUGCUUACUGACACCCCACCGGCAAUGCAUCUCUUUCUAGAAACUUCUGUUCCCAGGUGCUGAGGUAGACGUGGGAGCCAACACUCCAGCUGUGGUUUGUCCUUUGCUGCCUCUAAGACCCUGGAACAGCUUAAAGUACUGAAUCACGUGGAAACAAGGAAUAAUGUCAGUGUGUGUUUAUAUUAUGUUAAAUAUUAGAAAUUAAUAAUGACAAAGAGAGAGAGAGGAUAAUAUGUGUUAAAUCCCUAAAUCUAUCUCUCGCAGCAUCCCGGAAACCAAGACAAAGGAGAAAUCAAUGCAUUCUAUAGCCUUAUUGCAAAGCAUAAGAAAACACUCAAAUUAGUCUGCUAAAAUACCCAGAACAAGGCUGAAGCUCAAAAAUGCUGGUUGUUUUUCCAGAGGACCCGAGUUCACUUCCCAGUCCCCUUGUUGGGUGGUUUAUAGUCUAUAACUUCAGCUCUAGGGGAUGCCUCACUGAGCAUCUGCACACACACACCCUAAAAUUAAAAACAAAAUUUUUAAAAUACUCAGGUCAGGGCUAUGGUUCAGUGAAGUAAAGGUGUUUGCCACCACACAUGAUACACUGAGCUCUGUACCUGGGACCCACAUGGGAGAAGGCAAUACCUCACUCUUGCAGGUUUUUCUCAGACCGGCACACAUGUGCCACGACUUGCACGUACCCCCCACUGCACACACAAUAAAUUAAAAAUAAAUGUAA